rnacentral:rRNA from 1 species
GUCCUCCCAACAGAACAAACCCCCCGGCGUAAAAUGCGCCAAGGAAUCUUAAAUGAAAAGAGAAGGUAACCAGCACCCUAGCGUGCCGGGAAUGGAAUUCGCAAGGGUGGCUGGUUUCCUUGUUUAAAAACUAAAUGACUCUCGGCAACGGAUAUCUUGGCUCUCGCAUCGAUGAAGAACGUAGCGAAAUGCGAUACUUGGUGUGAAUUGCAGAAUCCCGUGAACCAUCGAGUUUUUGAACGCAAGUUGCGCCCAAAGCCUUCGGGCCGAGGGCACGUCUGCCUGGGUGUCAUGUACCGUUGCCCCAUCCAACUCCCUUUGUGGGGAGAUCGGACUAGGGGUGGAAAAUGGUCUCCCGUGUGCCCCCGCUCGCGGUUGGCCAAAAUUUGAGUCGUUGGUGAUAAUGCCACG